rnacentral:RNase_P_RNA from 2 species
UGGGUCGACUGGACGGCCGCGUGGCGGGAAACCGCACCGAGGAACGUCCGGGCUCCACAGGGCAGGGCGGUGGGUAACACCCACCCGGAGUGAUCCGCGAGAAAGUGCCACAGAGAGCAGACCGCCCCGCAAGGGGUAAGGGUGAAAGGGUGGUGUAAGAGACCACCGGGGGUCAUGGUGACAUGACCCGCCAGGUAAACCUCGCCCGGAGCAAGGUCAGACAGAGGAUGUUGACGCGGCCCGCCGAGUCCUCGGGUAGACCGCUAGAGUGCCACGGCAACGUGUCGCCGAGAGAGAUGGCCGUCGAAGGGGCGAAGAACCCCGGAACAGAACCCGGCGUACAGGUCGGCCCAUUCG